rnacentral:rRNA from 1 species
GACGGUGAUUUUAGCGUAGAGGUCACACCUGUUUCCAUUCCGAACACAGAAGUUAAGUUCUUCAGCGCCGAUAGUAGUGAAAUUUAGUUCGCGAGGGUAGGACGUUGCCAGUU